GACGAACCGUGCGAACGUUGUUCGGAUUCACUGGGCUUAAAGGGCGCGUAGGCGGGUGACCAAGUCCGGGGUGAAAUCUUUCGGCCUAACCGGAAAAGUGCCUGGGAUACUGGUCACCUCGAGGGAGGUAGGGGCAUGCGGAACUUCCGGUGGAGCGGUGAAAUGCGUAGAUAUCGGAAGGAACACCAGUGGCGAAAGCGGCUUCCUGGUCCAGCACCGACGUUCAGGCACGAAAGCGUGGGGAGCAAACAGG
rnacentral:rRNA from 1 species